rnacentral:misc_RNA from 1 species
UGAUCCAGCCUCUCAGGCGAAUAUCCAAGAAUGCAAAACCCCGGCAGCGAUGCCGGGGUUUUUGUUUGGGCAGA